UGGGGAAUAUUGGACAAUGGGCGAAAGCCUGAUCCAGCCAUGCCGCGUGUGUGAAGAAGGUCUUCGGAUUGUAAAGCACUUUAAGUUGGGAGGAAGGGCAUUAACCUAAUACGUUAGUGUUUUGACGUUACCGACAGAAUAAGCACCGGCUAACUCUGUGCCAGCAGCCGCGGUAAUACAGAGGGUGCAAGCGUUAAUCGGAAUUACUGGGCGUAAAGCGCGCGUAGUUGGUUUGUUAAGUUGGAUGUGAAAUCCCCGGGCUCAACCUGGGAACUGCAUUCAAAACUGACUGACUAGAGUAUGGUAGAGGGUGGUGGAAUUUCCUGUGUAGCGGUGAAAUGCGUAGAUAUAGGAAGGAACACCAGUGGCGAAGGCGACCACCUGGACUAAUACUGACACUGAGGUGCGAAAGCGUGGGGAGCAGACA
rnacentral:rRNA from 1 species